rnacentral:rRNA from 1 species
GUACGCGUUCUUGCAAAUCACCAGAAGGCGGUUCCUGAAUGAAUGGGAAGCCUUCAAGAAGGUGAUAAGCAGGAGAAACAUACGAAGGCGCAUAACGAUACCACUGACCCUCAGCAAUCUUAAACUUCUUAGACGAAUCACCAGAACGGAAAACAUCCUUCAUAGAAAUUUCACGCGGCGGCAAGUUGCCAUACAAAACAGGGUCGCCAGCAAUAUCGGUAUAAGUCAAAGCACCUUUAGCGUUAAGGUACUGAAUCUCUUUAGUCGCAGUAGGCGGAAAACGAACAAGCGCAAGAGUAAACAUAGUGCCAUGCUCAGGAACAAAGAAA